UAGACCACUAGGGGAGGGUGGGGGGAGAGGAGAGACCACUAAGGGGCAGGGGAGAUCUCUAAGGAAUGGAAGGGAGAGCACUAUAGGACAGGGGGACAGGGAGCUCUUUCACACCACGCGCGCGCACACACACACACACACACACACAAUGCAUCCCUAUACACACAGAAACACAACAUGCUUCCCUUACACACAGAGAAACACACAAUGCAACCCUUACACAUAAAGACAAUGCAACCUUUGCACAUAUACACAGAAACACACAAUGCAUCCCUUACACACACAUGCAAACACACACUGCUUCUCUUACACACACACACAGAAACACAAUGCAUCUUACACACACUCAACGCACCCCUUACAGACACACACACUGCAUCCCUUACAUACAAAGAAACACACUUUGCAUCC
rnacentral:lncRNA from 1 species